rnacentral:lncRNA from 1 species
UGUGUGUGUGUGUAGUAAUUUACCCCUGAAAAUCAUAUUUUGCCGUUCCGUUGUGUGGGUUGUUGCUGCGAUGUGUUGUUCGGGCUAAUCACGAUGACCUGCUCCAUCUACUCUGUCAGUCACAGCAGCAGGUAAAGGAGGACGGGAUAUGUUAUGAAGCCUGUGAAGACAGACCCAACAUAAUAUAAGUUAUAGUUAGUCAUUUUAAAUCGGCAUCAACUGAGCAUUUCAGGCCCACAAAAUAUCCAAAUACAAACAUUGAAAAGUUUCACACAAAAAGAGCACAACCAAAUAUUGCAUAUUUCAGAUUAUCUCAAAAAACACCAUAAACACAUUGUAGAAUGAGUAGAUGAAUACAUCAACUAAUUAAUAGCAGAAAAUAAAAAAUUCACUACCCAUUUAACAAACAUUUCUCUUUUCAAAAACAUUACAGUAGACAGGAUCUCUCCUGGAUCUCCUCUUCUUCACCUUUGAUCCGGCGGCAGAUAUGGGGAAGCUGUGAGAACUAUCCAUCCCAGUGAGAGAGGCCUGAUCUGUCCAUCCCAGUGAGAGAGGCCUGAUCUGUCCAUCCCAGUGAGAGAGGCCUGAUCUGUCCAUCCCAGUGAGAGAGGCCUGAUCUGUCCAUCCCAGGACCCCAGUGAGAGAGGCCUGAUCUGUCCAUCCCAGUGAGAGAGGCCUGAUCUGUCCAUCCCAGGACCCCAGUGAGAGAGGCCUGAUCUGUCCAUCCCAGGAAACCCUGUCUGUCCAGUGAGAGAGGCCUGAUCUGUCCAUCCCAGGACCCCAGUGAGAGAGGCCUGAUCUGUCCAUCCCAGGAAACCCUGUCUGUCCAGUGAGAGAGGCCUGAUCUGUCCAUCCCAGGACCCCUGUCCGUCCAGUGAGAGAGGCCUGAUCUGUCCAUCCCAGGACCCCAGUGAGAGAGGCCUGAUCUGUCCAUCCCAGGGCCCCAGUGAGAGAGGCCUGAUCUGUCCAUCCCAGGACCCCAGUGAGAGAGGCCUGAUCUGUCCAUCCCAGGGCCCCAGUGAGAGAGGCCUGAUCUGUUUAUCCCAGGAAACCCUUUCUGUCCAGUGAGAGAGGCCUGAUCUGUCCACCCAUCCACCCAGCCACUCCCCUCCCCCUCACCACCCACAUGUGGCCCGUUGUUUACCUUGUUACCUGGCAACGAUCACAAGGGCGUUUCAAUGAGCUGUCAGUCAAGGCGAGCUCAUGAAUAUAAGCACCACGCCCACUGAUAGUAAUAAUUCAUUACAUUUUUUAUAGCGCUUUUCAUAGAAUUUCAAAGCGCUUCAAGAGCUUUAAAAAUAUGAUAUAGUUCAUUAAUAGAGGUGAGAGAAAAGGUUUCUUCAAUUCUGAGCAUUGUAGUAACAGUGUGAAAAUAUUAUGGAUGCUGUUUUGGUCGUUCAAAUGCUAUUAGAUAUGAUAAUAUCAUGGGCAAGAACAACUGGCUACUAGUUUGUUUUCACCAAAAUACAGUAUGUUCAACUCAUAACUCAUUUAUUCAAUGUAGCUAGCUAGCUAGCAUGCUGGCUAACAUUGGCGAAUAUUUUUUACUUAAAUACUUUACACUACUAGCUAACUAACUGUGAAUGUCCUAUUCUGUGAUACAUUUGGUUCAACUUGCUCAUAUCAAGAAACUGACAGUUUGUGGAAAGGUAAAAGUGCAUCUGUGUGACAUCCAACACCCAAGAAGGCUCAAUCAAUCACCCGACAUAAUUCAUGAAUAUUAAUAACUUUGCCUCUGGCUAUCCUACAAAAAGGACAUUUCGCUGACUCCGCGGGACCUUUAAACCAUGUGUCUGGCCGUUUGUAAAAGCGAUCUGUGACAUAGUAAUCUUUUGAGGUUGUGUUGUUACUUUUCCUCUCAUCAGACUUCUGAUCUCCCUCAAACCAAACCCUUCAUAAACACAUCAUAAGCACUUUUUCCAGUCUCACAGAAUGUGAUAUGAAUUGGGGCAUAUUUAACCCAAAUCCUUAACCUGAAUCCUAAAAGCACAUAAAAGCAAACUUCACAUAAUAAUUGUGUAUUUAGGUAGAUAAUUAGAAAAAAAAAAAAAGUUGUUUAUUUUAAAGACAAACAAAAGCCAAUAUCUAAAUCAACCCUAGCUAAAAAAAUACAUAAUAAUUUGACCAUACAAAAGCCCACAUCUAUGUAGAGAAAAGAUUCAAGACCCACAGAUAGAAAGAAGAAGAAAAAAACCACUUCAAAAGUUUUCCCAUGAAGCAUUAGAGCCGAUCUCAGUCUCUGGAUUCUAUAAACCAUCUAUAGCUUCAGGCAUGGAUUGGCUCCGUCUGCCAUAUUAAUUCAUUUUUACAUAGUGAAACAUUAAAAUUAGAAUUCAUUAGCGUUAUCUGAGGUCUACAUCGAGAUGUGGAGUUGUUUGAUUAGUACCUUCAGGGGUAAUGCUUUUGUCGUGUGUCUGGGUGUCUUUCUACCUUUUGUUGUGCUGAUCCACUCUCUCUCUCUCUCUCUCUCUCUCUCUCUCUCUCUCGCUGUCUCUCUCUC